rnacentral:rRNA from 1 species
CAGUAGCCGCGGUAAUACGUAGGUGGCAAGCGUUGUCCGGAAUUAUUGGGCGUAAAGCGCACGUAGGCGGAUAUUUAAGUCAGGGGUGAAAUCCCAGAGCUCAACUCUGGAACUGCCUUUGAUACUGGGUAUCUUGAGUAUGGAAGAGGUGAGUGGAAUUCCGAGUGUAGAGGUGAAAUUCGUAGAUAUUCGGAGGAACACCAGUGGCGAAGGCGGCUCACUGGUCCAUUACUGACGCUGAGGUGCGAAAGCGUGGGGAGCAAACAGGAUUAGAUACCCCGGUAGUCCCUGUCUCUUAUAC